UAUUAAAAAAAACAAAAAAAGAGAGAGAGAAAGAAAAGAAAAAGGAAAAUGAAGCAAACCCAUACCUUUUUUUCCCAUUUAUAUAUUCAGGCAUUAAAUUAUUUUUUUAUUAUUUUUAUUUGGGCACCUUUGAGAAUUCUUCUCAGGUUGGAACGAGUUUCUGACAAAUGAGUCACUGUUUGUGCUGAUUGGUCUCUCAGAUUUCAAAGUUUCUCCACUUAAAAGACAAUUUCCUUCAAUAGGUCUCAAAUAAUUGAAAGGACUGUUUAUUUGUCGUGAAGUAUGAAAGAACAUCAAGCUGUGGAAACUGAUCCUUGUGGUUGAUGCUUUUUUAAUACAUUAUAGAGCAAGAGUUAUCAUACGUAGGGAAAUAUGGAGUGUAAUAAAGAUGAAGCAGUCAGGGCUAAGGAAAUUGCCGAGAGGAAGUUUACGGACAGAGAUUUUGCUGGGGCAAAGAAAUUUGCUUUGAAGGCCCAACACUUGUAUCCUGAGCUUGAUGGUCUAUCUCAAAUGUUGGUGACGUUGGAUGUGUAUGCCUCUGCAGAGAAAAGAACAAUUACGGGUGAAGUUGAUUAUUAUUGUGUGCUUGGUGUAAGCCCCUGGGCUGAUGAUGAGACAGUCAAGAAACAAUACCGGAAGCUAGCCCUUAUGCUUCAUCCUGACAAAAACAAAUCAUUGGGUGCAGAUGGUGCUUUUAAGCUGGUGUCAGAGGCAUGGAGUUUAUUAUCUGACAAGGCUAAGAGACUGGCAUACAAUGAGAAAUUGAAUGUGAUAGGAUUUCAUCAGAAUAUUUCAACCCACACUAAGGUUCCCUCAGCACCACCUACUGCUAAUGGCUUUCAUAAUAGUAGCAGUGCUGUACAAUCAGAUGCAAGGACUCAGAACAAGAAUGCUCGGGCAGGGCCACCACCAGUUCCAUCUUCUUAUAAAAAACCUGAUACCUUCUGGACUAUCUGCAACAGAUGUAAGACACAGUAUGAAUACCUGAGGAUUUAUCUAAAUCACACCCUCCUAUGCCCAAACUGUCACGAGGCUUUUUAUGCUGUGGAGAAGGCCCCUCCAAAUGUGAUGAAGCCAGCCAAUCAUUCUUCUCGCCAGAAACAUCACUCAAGACAUCGUGCUGCCUAUAGUAGCAUGUUUAACAUUGGAAGAAAUGGUGGAGUUGGUCAAAGUUGUGGACCCGAGGGGUUUGGAGUGAAUUCAUCCAAUGAUUCAGACCGACAAUGGAAUCAUUUUUCUCGAAUGGCUGGUGCUGGGGACGCGGUUCAUCAGGCUCAUCAACAAGUGAAGAGAGAGCAUGAGGAAACCGAGGCAUUGGCUGAGUGGAAGACUGGUAACUCAGCAUUUGGAGUUGACCAACUCUUUAAAAGGAGAAGAUCUGACGAAAUUUCCAUGAAUUAUUUUGGAGCUGAUGUAGGGAAUGGAAGGGCAGGGUUGGGGAGUGCAUCUGAACAAAGAAAGGGCUAUUAUGAGACAGAAAGACACUAUGGUUUUUCUGGUAUUAAUAGUAAGCCCAAUAGCAAGAGAGAGUUGUCAUUUAUUGAGCUUCGGAAUAUGUUGAUGGAGAAGGCACGAUUUGAUAUUCGUAAAAAGCUUGAAGAAUGGAGAUUAAAGCAAAUGAAACUGGAAGAAAAUAAAAAACAAAAAAGCGUUGUGAGGAAUGGUGCUAAUAACCAUAAGAAGCAUGACGAUUCUGCUGUUAUGGAAGGAAACAAAAGCAAGAAAUCUUUCCCAGGUUUUUCGUCUGAUAAUUCAAGUAAAAAUUCCCGUGCACCAAUGUCUAUUAAUGUUCCAGAUCCUGAUUUUCACAAUUUUGAUUUGGACCGAACAGAAAGUUCUUUUGGAGAUGACCAAGUUUGGGCUGCCUAUGAUGAAAAUGAUGGGAUGCCACGUUACUAUGCUCGAAUUCAUAAGGUGAUAUCCUUGAAACCAUUCAAGAUGAGGAUCAGUUGGCUCAACUCCAGAAGCAACCUUGAAUUCAGCUCUCUAGAUUGGGUAGGUUCUGGUUUCCCUAAGACUUGUGGGGAUUUCAGGGCUGGCAGACAUGAAGUCACUGGGACAUUAAAUUCUUUUUCCCACAAGGUUAAAUGGAUAAAAGGCAAUCGUGGGGUCAUCCGCAUACUUCCUAGUAAGGGAGAUGUUUGGGCUCUUUACACAAACUGGUCUCCAGACUGGAAUCAGCAUACUCCGGAUGAAGUUGUACACCAAUAUGACAUGGUGGAAGUGCUUGAUGACUAUAGUGAAGAACAAGGUGUUUCUGUUGCUCCUCUUAUUAAGGUUGCUGGAUUCAAGACAGUUUUCCAUCGGCAUAUGGACCCUAAUAAAGUCAAGAAGAUUCCAAAAGAAGAGAUGCUUCGCUUCUCUCAUCAGGUCCCAGAUCAUCUGCUUACUGAUGAGGAAGCCCCAAAUGCUCCAAAGGGGUGCCGGGAGUUGGAUCCAGCAGCUACUCCUUUGGAACUACUUCAGGUCAUUACAGAAGCCAAUGAGGCAGAAACAGUAGAUACUACUUUGAAAACGGAGGAAGAAGUGGCACCAAUUUCCACAGAAAUCAAGGUUGAUGACAUGGUGGAGAAUGCCUUUAAACCCAAGGAGGAUGGGACCAUAGAAAGUUACGAACAAGCCAAUGAAAAUUAACAAGGUUGGUAUAUAGAUGGCUGAGGAAGCCAAUGUUGUAGAUGAUCCUGAAAAAGCUGAGAAAUUACCUAAUGGAAACUGCUUAAUACACACCAAUAUAGUUUCUUUCUUCUCCGGCUAUUUAGCAAAAUGAUAAAAGAAAAGCACUUUCAAGAGAUGUGCCUUGUGGUGUGGCUGCCGUGCGAAAUUGCAAAUGCUGUUUUGCUUUGCUGCUUCUGUUUGUUGAGUGGAUUGAAAUUGCUGAGCCAUUUUCUCAGGAGGUUGGAAAUUAGGAAGAAGUUUAGUAGGCUUGGGCCAGCUUUUAGUGAGCCUGCAGGGCCGCAUGAUCAGAUUGUAAACAAACAGUGUUAUUAGUAGUAACACAACGUCCACGACCCAGGAAGGAAGAGUUCAGGCUUACAAGUAAUUUAUCAUGAAACGUAGAAUCAUGCAUGGUAUAAAUUUUUUUCAGUGCAAA